AUUAAAAUACACCAACACCACGUUAUGAAAAAACAAUGAGCGACACACCUUGUUAAGCACUUAAAAAUUAAACAUUUAUGUUAAAAGUUGUCUGCGAUGCUAAGAAGUAAAUUCAAAUAAAUGCGAAACGCCAAAUAUUAGAGGAGAUCGAGUGCGAUAACUCAUGAAGUAUUACAUACAUACAGCAAGAAAACAUUCUCUUUGAUGGACAACUUAAAUAUAAGUUUUGAAGGAAUAUAGAGAUAAACAAAAAAUCCCGGAUGAUGGGUUUCGUAAUUUACGAGGGCAAAACAAGAAGUUGUCGCACUGCUCCUUUAGCCCGAACGCCAACAUUGACCGUCAAGGCUUUGAAUAUGUUGAUAAUGUCGACAGUCUUGGAACCAGCACAAACACUGCAAACAGUGUCUGCCUUGCACCAAACUUAUCAAAACGUGAUACUUUAGACUGAGAAGAUUAAAACACUACUAUUACAGAUGACGAAGGCAAAUAAAUUAUCUUACAUAAAUGUGUUUUUGUGAUACAAAACAUAAGUUCUAAGCACUAUCGGAUUUUAUCAAAAUUUGUUGGUGUAUUUUUAUUCUUUAACGUAAUUCAAAGCUGAAUGGUUUUUUUUAAUUAAUUCAUAAUGAUGUUUUCUGUAAUAAAUAGAAAAAAUUUCCACGAUAAGUAUUUCCUCAAAAUAAAAAUCGUGUUGUAAACGAACGUGAAUUUAAUUGCGACUUUAUAAUAGUUUAUUUUGUGAAACACUGGUUUUAGAUCUUAAUAUAUAAUCCAGAAAAGACAACUAUAAGCUAAAGUCAAAUAAUGCUGUGUUUUAAGACUAUGUUUAUAAGUUUAAGCCACAAGUUCGUUGCAAAAAUAUAAUAAAUUUCAUUGAUG